rnacentral:rRNA from 1 species
AUGGCUCAGGAUGAACGCUAGCGGCAGGCUUAACACAUGCAAGUCGAGGGGCAGCGGGAUGUAGCAAUACAUGCCGGCGACCGGCGGAUGGGUGCGUAACGCGUAUGCAACCUACCUUAUACAGGGGAAUAACCUUUCGAAAGGGAGACUAACACCCCAUAGUAUUGAUUUAAGGCAUCUUAGAUUAAUUAAAUAUUUAUAGGUAUAAGAUGGGCAUGCGUAUGAUUAGCUAGUUGGUAAGGUAACGGCUUACCAAGGCGACGAUCAUUAGGGGUUCUGAGAGGAAGGUCCCCCACACUGGUACUGAGACACGGACCAGACUCCUACGGGAGGCAGCAGUGAGGAAUAUUGGUCAAUGGGCGCAAGCCUGAACCAGCCAUGCCGCGUGCAAGGAAGACGGCCUUAUGGGUUGUAAACUGCUUUUACAUAAGACUAACCGUAUAUUUGCGAAUAUACCUGAAUGUAUUAUGAGAAUAAGGAUCGGCUAACUCCGUGCCAGCCGCCGC